AGAGUUUGAUCAUGGCUCAGAUUGAACGCUGGCGGCAGGCCUAACACAUGCAAGUCGAGCGGUAGAGAGAAGCUUGCUUCUCUUGAGAGCGGCGGACGGGUGAGUAAUGCCUAGGAAUCUGCCUAGUGGUGGGGGAUAACGUUCGGAAACGGACGCUAAUACCGCAUACGUCCUACGGGAGAAAGCGGGGGAUCUUCGGACCUCGCGCCAUUAGAUGAGCCUAGGUCGGAUUAGCUAGUUGGUGAGGUAAUGGCUCACCAAGGCGACGAUCCGUAACUGGUCUGAGAGGAUGAUCAGUCACACUGGAACUGAGACACGGUCCAGACUCCUACGGGAGGCAGCAGUGGGGAAUAUUGGACAAUGGGCGAAAGCCUGAUCCAGCCAUGCCGCGUGUGUGAAGAAGGUCUUCGGAUUGUAAAGCACUUUAAGUUGGGAGGAAGGGUAGUAACCUAAUACGUUGCUACUUUGACGUUACCGACAGAAUAAGCACCGGCUAACUUCGUGCCAGCAGCCGCGGUAAUACGAAGGGUGCAAGCGUUAAUCGGAAUUACUGGGCGUAAAGCGCGCGUAGGUGGUUCAGUAAGUUGGAAGUGAAAUCCCCGGGCUCAACCUGGGAACUGCUUUCAAAACUGCUGAGCUAGAGUACGGUAGAGGGUGGUGGAAUUUCCUGUGUAGCGGUGAAAUGCGUAGAUAUAGGAAGGAACACCAGUGGCGAAGGCGACCACCUGGACUGAUACUGACACUGAGGUGCGAAAGCGUGGGGAGCAAACAGGAUUAGAUACCCUGGUAGUCCACGCCGUAAACGAUGUCAACUAGCCGUUGGAAUCCUUGAGAUUUUAGUGGCGCAGCUAACGCAUUAAGUUGACCGCCUGGGGAGUACGGCCGCAAGGUUAAAACUCAAAUGAAUUGACGGGGGCCCGCACAAGCGGUGGAGCAUGU
rnacentral:rRNA from 1 species